ACGAACGCUGGCGGCAGGCUUAACACAUGCAAGUCGAACGCCCCGCAAGGGGAGUGGCGCACGGGUGAGUAACGCGUGGAUAUCUGCCUUUUGGUUCGGAAUAACCCCGGGAAACUGGGGCUAAUACCGGAUGGUUCCUACGGGAUAAAGAUUUAUCGCCAAAAGAUGAGUCCGCGUACGAUUAGCUAGUUGGUGAGGUAAUGGCUCACCAAGGCGACGAUCGUUAGCUGGUCUGAGAGGACGAUCAGCCACACUGGGACUGAGACACGGCCCAGACUCCUACGGGAGGCAGCAGUGGGGAAUAUUGGACAAUGGGGGCAACCCUGAUCCAGCCAUGCCGCGUGAGUGAUGAAGGCCUUCGGGUUGUAAAGCUCUUUUGGCGGGGACGAUGAUGACGGUACCCGCAGAAUAAGCCCCGGCUAACUUCGUG
rnacentral:rRNA from 1 species